rnacentral:misc_RNA from 1 species
AAGUCGUAACAAGGUUUCCGUAGGUGAACCUGCGGAAGGAUCAUUAGCGAAGUUCGGAAUGCAUGUUCGGUGUUGAUGCUGCCCAGCAAUGGGAUGUGCUCACUCGGAUGUGUGUCCCUUCUCUAUCCACCCCAUUGUGAACCAAGUGUGUGAGCCGAAGAGAAAUCGGACGCUCGCAUGCAAACCUUUAAUAUACCCCAAUUAAGUAUCAGAAUGUACCUUGCGUUAACUCGCACAAAUAUAACUUUCAACAACGGAUCUCUUGGCUCUC